UUUCCGUAGGUGAACCUGCGGAAGGAUCAUUACUGAGACUGGGUGCUUCGGCGCCCGACCUCCAACCCCCUGUUUACCUUACCACUGUUGCCUCGGCGUUUCCGUCCGCCUCCCUCUCGCGGGGGGUGCGGGGGGUGCGCCGGCGGCCAAAACAACAAAACCCUUCUCUAAACCAAGCAAUCUGAGAAAUUAUUUAAUAACUUCAAAACUUUCAACAACGGAUCUCUUGGUUCUGGCAUCGAUGAAGAACGCAGC
rnacentral:misc_RNA from 1 species